rnacentral:rRNA from 1 species
AAGCUCGUAGUUGAAUUUCGGGAUCAAUAUACCGGUCGUGCCUCAGGUAUGAACUGGUCUUAUUGGUUUCUCCCUUCUGACGAAUCAUGAUGUCAUUAAUUUGAUGUCGUGGAGAAUCAGAACUGUUACUUUGAAAAAAUUAGAGUGUUUAAAGCAGGCUAACGCUUGAAUACAUUAGCAUGGAAUAAUGAAAUAGGACGUUCGAUCCUAUUUUGUUGGUUUCUAGGAUCGACGUAAUGAUUAAUAGGGAUAGUUGGG